rnacentral:lncRNA from 1 species
CCGGGCUCUUCUUCGCCCAGCGCAGCCGGCAGGUGGACAGCGAGCCGCCGCGCCUGAGCUGGGCCCACCCGGGCGUCCCCGACGCCCCGCGCCCCUUACCUGCUCGGGCAGCCCCGCGCCGGCCACCGCCCGCUCGGCCUCCAGCCGGCGCCACCGCUGCCGCCAGCUCUCCCCGCCUGGGGACCCCGCCCCCGGCCCCGCCCCGCCCGGCGCAGGUGAUUCCGGGGAGGGGCCGAGCUCGCCCCCUCGGUGCCCCGGUCUCUGGGGGCCUCCCGGGGGCGCCAGGGUCGGGACGCUGGGGCGGCGGCGCCUCCCCGUGGUGUCCUCGCGCCUCUCCCAGGCCUCGGUCCUUUUGGGGAGUCCGGUUCUAGCGGCCCUGGGCGCUCAGCCGCCAGACCACAUCUUCCAGAUGGAACUUCUCCGAGGGCAAGAGAGGAGGAAGGGGCCUUACAAGUACACCGGGGCGGAUGCCAGUCAAGCGGUAGGACGCUGCCACGUCAGGAUGAGUCUGCACACGCCUGCCGUGAGGGAUCUGGGAAGGGACCUCUUCCUCUCAGCAGCCUCCCCCGUAAAGAGUUGGCCAGGGUCAGAGCCACGAGCCAAGCCCAGGGAGGCAGAAGCAUAAAAAGGCUCGAGAGAAGCUUCCUCUCACAGUUUAUUCGUUCUUCAAGUUCCCCCGAAUUCUCGCUCCAGGCCAGGCACUCUACGAGGUGGGGCAGAUUCAGUGGGGGCCUGUCCCACCUGUAGACUUCACCUUCCAGUGGAGGUGGGGGCAACAGCUGAUACCCAAGCACAAAAGAUCGUAAUGCAAGAGAGACAAUCUGUGAAAAACUCUACGAAGGAAACUGUAAAGUGCUGUCAUUGAUCAUUAUCGGUGGGAGGGCAGCGGCUCCUUCAGAAAGGGAGGGAAGGAGGAGGACCAUCUGACCGGAGAAGACAGGCGAACUGAGACCUGAAGGACAAGCAGGCAGGUGCAGGGGGCCAUUCCAGACCAAGGGAAGGCCCAUAGGGCCAGUGUGGUUGACUGGAGUCGGGGUUGAGGGCGGAGUGGACAGGAUGAGGUCACAGGCAGGCAGAGAUCUUAUCUUGUGAGGUCUUAAAGAUCAGAGUGAGGAGUCCAGAUUUCAUUCCAAGGACUGUGGAAAGCCGUGGGAGGAUUUUAAGAAAG